ACGUGUUUUUGUUGACGUGGAGAGACAGGUACAUGGAGACACAUAGUCUGCUUGCCUAGUUUGGUUUCCAAGUGGUAAGGGUUGUAAAAGGGUGACAUUACUCACAGGGUCAAAUCCCUGUCAGGUAAGCCUCAGCCUAUCACCCCCCUGGACUUUAUAAUACGAGUGUUAUUUUGUGUGAAGUCAUCAGUGACCGACCUAUUACGAAGAGACUGACUCAGAGAAACUAAUUAGAAAAGUGCCGCCACUUUUAUUGCUCGUUUGAGCAGAGAACAGGACAGCUAGACUGAGUCUCACGACUCUUUCUGGAGGGUCCUGCAUUAGAUUGUUUCACACAUUCACACAUUCUCAAACGAGGGUAUUAUGUGGGGGAAGAAAAGCCCACGCAUACAUACGAACAUCCAGAGAGGAUGGAUUUAAACAUCCACACAGAAAGAUCAGCAACCCCCUUCCGGCACUACCACCUGGAGGCCACACCGUAGGCCGGCAGAUAUCUGCAUGCUGUACCACGCCUGGCUCCCCCAUUGCUGGAUUAUAUAUAUGUAUUGCAUGUAUGUUGAACUUCUGUCGCACCGUACGUAGCCAACCGUGCUCAUUGGAGGUGAGUUUGCCACUGCAUCCAGCUUUAAAGUUUGAGUGCGUUUCACAAGAACCGCCUAUGACGAAAUAAUUCCAACAUUUAUAAUAUCUUUCUAAGAAGCUAAGCAUUAAAAAAAUAACAUACAAGAAAAUGCUCACAUUUUGAAAUGUAUAUAAAUUCAAUGUUUCUUUAAAUAUUCGUGUUACACUCAUUUUAUGUGCUCAAAAAUGGGCUUUAAAAAAUCCGGACAGUAAACGGAGAAACACACACUUGCUCCAUGAUAGCAUGUGUGAUGUGAUGAUGAUAUGAUGAUAGGCAGUUAGUGCAUAAUUUGAAUAGCAUAAGGGAUGAGGAUUACUGUUUAAGACAAAGGUAACAUUGGAGUUUCAUGUUCAAUCCCUGAUCAGACGUUUUAAACGCUCAUCUAAUAUCUGGGGGGGUCAUGAAAUUAGUCAUAUCACUUUAUGAAUGGUACCGGUUUCUGUUAUGGGAAUGCCGAAUUUCCACUGCUGUGAAUGGAGACACUCUGAGCACACCACUGGUAUGUACUGCACGUUCUACGAGCUACCAGAGGGUGUUAGGAUAUUAGCAUUCACGCAGUAUGGAAAGCAUUCGAAAUCGCACAUCUAUAAAAUAAGGCGAAACACUGCAAAUGUCCGUGCAACCUUUAAAAGAUUGCAUUGAUAUUUGCGUAAUUUAUUUAUGUGCUUAUUUACGACGUGAGGACAUCAUGAUUGCUUUUAACAAAAUCUAUGUUCUAUUUACAGCUUGGAUUUUCUCCCCCUCUCCCCCCCAUCAGCGCGGCCGCCUUGCAGCUCCGAUAGAAUUGUCUCGCCGUGUUCCCACAUCUCAUUUCCAGCCGGGAGCUGGGCCCAGACUCGCUCCCCCAUGCAGAGAGCCCUUGCAACCCUCCCCCCCUCGCUCAACCCCCACUGCCCUCCUCCCACAGCCACCCAGUUGCGAUGGGCGUCUCGUCUACGUCAAGGCAGAGAUGAUGCUGCAAAGCACCUUGAGGAACACCGCUUGGGACAAGUUGCAGAGUACAAGUGAAAUGAGAGUGGCCCCUAUCUCCACCGACGGCCCUCAGCCAUUCGAGGCAAUCCCAAGGCAUCACUGCAUGGGCCUCCCAUUGUUACAGUCUCCGUCUGGAUGUCGUACGCGCAUUGAGCGAACCGUGGCUGGCAUCGACGCAACUUCUGCCCGCACUGAUUCACCAACCACGGAUGAACCGAUAGAAGUCAAAAUGGUCACUCGUGCAAAUGAAACCCCAGCGCUGGUCUCUCGAAUUCUCACCUCCCCGGUGAAACAAAGCAAAGUCGAGCUUGGCCGACGAAAUCCGGAGCCGUGUUGCCAAUAAGGAACGUCCCGAGACUGACUGAAGACACUUCGAUUGCGUCUUGUCACGGAAGGGCUGACCGAGCCAGGAAAGCGCACUUCCAGACACGAACGAAUGCUGUCGAGCGCGCAUCGCAACGUUCCGAGACUUCAAGAGAACGGCGGAGCCGUUCGCCUGCAGCGCACUACCGCUUGCGUGACCCCCCUUUGGGCAAACGUCCCAUCGCCGCCGACAGACCUGAACGUCCCCAGAUGCUGACAGACGGGCGACGAUCUGGCGCCGGAGGUGGUGUCUUCGUCAGCUCGGCGAUGCGUGCAUCCUUGAUCUGCACCAGCUGCUCCAGCCGCUGCACCUUCGCCUGCAGCAGCUGCACACGCGCGACACAACCCGGUCACCCCGAGCUUGUCUGUCAGUGCGUUGCGGGGCUGGAGCACAGCUUCCGGCGACAGAGACUGGCACUCGUUCGCCGCGCAAGGUUCCCAGGCAGCCCCUCCCGGCGUGCGCGGGGAGGAAUUUCCGCUCACACGCUUGAGCCGCAGCGAGUGCAGCACCAGUUCCACCACGCCGGGGCUGCACCCCGUCACGCUACGCACCACGUCCACCGGGACGUGCAUUCCACACAGCUUGGAGAGCACCUUCCUGUUCACGCGCGCA